CGUGUUUUCAAUUAUGAUUUGAAGUCCCCACAACAGCUGCAGAUUUCCUGUUUAAGAAAAGCCAAGAUUCUCCCACACCUGACCCAUUCCUUUAGCAGAUGAUGCUCUAAUCUUCCUUUGGCAUCUCGCUGCCGAUUGUCAAUGCAGCCGUGUGUACAUCUGAGAAUAAAUUUUCUAGGACAACACUGGGAGUUUAUCUGCCAGCUUUAAAAUCAUGUGACUGGUUCACAAACAGAUUUGUCUCUGGCAUGGCUUUUGCAACCACAC